rnacentral:rRNA from 1 species
CAGUCGCCACGGGAAUACAGAGGGUGCGAGCGUUAAUCGGAUUUACUGGGCGUAAAGCGUGCGUAGGCGGCUUUUUAAGUCGGAUGUGAAAUCCCUGAGCUUAACUUAGGAAUUGCAUUCGAUACUGGGAAGCUAGAGUAUGGGAGAGGAUGGUAGAAUUCCAGGUGUAGCGGUGAAAUGCGUAGAGAUCUGGAGGAAUACCGAUGGCGAAGGCAGCCAUCUGGCCUAAUACUGACGCUGAGGUACGAAAGCAUGGGGAGCAAACAGGAUUAGAUACCCGAGUAGUCCCUGUCUCUUAUAC